rnacentral:rRNA from 1 species
UACGUAGGGUGCGAGCGUUGUCCGGAAUUAUUGGGCGUAAAGAGCUCGUAGGCGGUUUGUCGCGUCUGCUGUGAAAGACCGGGGCUCAACUCCGGUUCUGCAGUGGGUACGGGCAGACUAGAGUGCAGUAGGGGAGACUGGAAUUCCUGGUAUAGCGGUGAAAUGCGCAGAUAUCAGGAGGAACACCGAUGGCGAAGGCAGGUCUCUGGGCUGUAACUGACGCUGAGGAGCGAAAGCAUGGGGAGCGAACAGG